rnacentral:misc_RNA from 1 species
GUGGUGCCCGCUACAAGAGGAGUGCUGAUUCCAAUAUGGGAAGAGGGCAAGGAAAUGCUUGGAGGGGUGCUCCAAACUGGUCUCCAUCUGUGCCAAAUGGCUACAUUCCUUUCCAACAUGGGCCACCUCAUGGAGGUUUUCAAGCCAUGAUGCCACAGUUUCCAUCUCCUCCUGUGUUUGGAGUUAGACCCUCAAUGGACAUCAGCCACUCUGGGAUUCCUUAUCAUAUUCCUGACGCUGAGAGGUUUUCCAGUCAUCUGCGCCCCCUUGGAUGGCAGAACAUGAUGGAAGGGUCAGGGCCUUCUCACAUGCAUGGAUGGGA